AUGUACAGAAAUCUUGGCUCCAUAAACGUGGUGCAAGUGAAGGCCAGAGUAAACAGAUUUGGCCAUAUUGGACACCUGGUCACCAGCGCUGCUUUUAACUCCAGCAAGGUGGAUAUUGUUGUUAUCAUUGACCUCAACUGUAUGGUCUACAGUGUUCCAGUAUGAUUCCACCCAUGGCAAGUUCCAUAGUGCAGUCAAGGCUGAGAGUGGGAAGCUUAUCAUCAAUGGACAUCCUGCAUACAUUUUCCGUAAGCAAGAUCCUACCAAAAUCAAAUGGGGGGGGAUGCUGGUGCUGAUUAUGUUGUAGAGUCCACAGGUGUCUUCACUACCUUGGAGAAGGCUGGGGCUCCCUAGAAGGGGAGCCAAAAGGGUCAUCAUCUCUGCCCUCUCUGCUGAUGCCCCAUGUUUGUGAUGGGUGUGACCCAUGAGAAGUAUGGAAACAACCUCACAAUCCUCAGCAAUGCCUCCUGCACCACCAGCCACUCAGCCCCCCGGGGCCAAGGUCAUCCAUGACAACUUUCGCAUCAUGGGAGGACCCAUGACCAUAGACCAUACCACCCCAGAGCACUGUGGGCAGGCCCUCUGGGAGACUGUGGCAUGACACGGGGCUCUCCAGAACAUCAUCCUUGCAUCUACUGGCACUGCCAAGGCUGUGGGCAAGGUCGUCCCUGAGCUGAAUGGGAAGCUCACUGGCAUGGCGUUCUGUGUCCCCACUGCCAACCUGUCAGUUAUGGACCUGACCUGCCAUCCAGAAAGACCUGUCAAAUAUGAUUACAUCAAGAAGGUAGUGAAGCAGACAUUAGAAGGCUGAAGAGCAUACUGGGCUACACAGAGCACCAGGUUGUCUCCUCUGACUUUAACAGCAACACCCACUCUUCUGCCUUCAAGGCUGGGACUGGCAUUGCCAUCAACAACCACUUUGUCAAGCUCAUUCCCUGGUAUGCCAAUGAAUUUGGCUAUAGCAAAUUAUGGUCCACAUGGCCUCCAAGGAGUAG